UGUUUCCAUAAUUUGGUCUGGUUGUCACCUCAGAAACCCAGAAGCUAUCAGCAAAACGACGAAACUACUUCCAACCCAGUUUCGAAUUCAUGCGCACAAUCCCACCACCAAGUGCCGUUUGCAAUUUGUGCAGUGUUUCAUGCAUUGAACACGUUAUGGUCAUUCCUCAUUAUGGAAUGUAUGACACGUACUCAAAACCAGCUUUACUCAUUACCCCACUGUUGUUUUUACUUUGUUUGGACCAUUGCAUGUAUAAAUUUCCUACCUUUGGUAUUAUUUUCCUGUGGAUUCUGCUGCUUGAGGCGCUGCAGCAUAAAGGGGUUCCAAACUUAUGUUUAAUUCCUCAUUCAAUAGCUUCAUAGAUCCUCUGAGUGUUACACGAUUAUGGAUUUGGAGGAUAGAUUAAGUUCAACAGAUCCACACAGGUUUGGCUGACAAAGCAACUGCAGAACCUGAAGUUGUUUCAAAAAAGAAAGAACUACCAUUACGUUUGUUUUUUGGGAAUGGUCCAAGAGUCCACAAGAAAUUAUGCAUAGCAUGGGGUGUGGCUGACAGACGCUGUGGACAAUGUGGUAAAGUUGGACAGCUAGUCUGCUUUUCCCCAAACUUCCGAAAAUGGGCUUUAAGGAGAGUAACCGUUGAAGAG